rnacentral:rRNA from 1 species
UACAGAGGGGGCAAGCGUUGUUCGGAAUUACUGGGCGUAAAGGGCGCGUAGGCGGCCUGCUAAGUCGAACGUGAAAUCCCUGGGCUCAACCCAGGAACUGCGUCCGAUACUGGUUGGCUUGAAUCCGGGAGAGGGAUGUGGAAUUCCAGGUGUAGCGGUGAAAUGCGUAGAUAUCUGGAGGAACACCGGUGGCGAAGGCGACAGCCUGGACCGGUAUUGACGCUGAGGAGCGAAAGCGUGGGGAGCGAACAGG